rnacentral:rRNA from 2 species
CUUUUACAAUGAAGAGUUUGAUCCUGGCUCAGGAUGAACGCUAGCUACAGGCUUAACACAUGCAAGUCGAGGGGCAUCAGGAAGAAAGCUUGCUUUCUUUGCUGGCGACCGGCGCACGGGUGAGUAACACGUAUCCAACCUGCCCUUUACUCGGGGAUAGCCUUUCGAAAGAAAGAUUAAUACCCGAUAGCAUAAUGAUUCCGCAUGGUUUCAUUAUUAAAGGAUUCCGGUAAAGGAUGGGGAUGCGUUCCAUUAGGUUGUUGGUGAGGUAACGGCCCACCAAGCCUUCGAUGGAUAGGGGUUCUGAGAGGAAGGUCCCCCACAUUGGAACUGAGACACGGUCCAAACUCCUACGGGAGGCAGCAGUGAGGAAUAUUGGUCAAUGGGCGCUAGCCUGAACCAGCCAAGUAGCGUGAAGGAUGAAGGCUCUAUGGGUCGUAAACUUCUUUUAUAUAAGAAUAAAGUGCAGUAUGUAUACUGUUUUGUAUGUAUUAUAUGAAUAAGGAUCGGCUAACUCCGUGCCAGCAGCCGCGGUAAUACGGAGGAUCCGAGCGUUAUCCGGAUUUAUUGGGUUUAAAGGGAGCGUAGGUGGACUGGUAAGUCAGUUGUGAAAGUUUGCGGCUCAACCGUAAAAUUGCAGUUGAUACUGUCAGUCUUGAGUACAGUAGAGGUGGGCGGAAUUCGUGGUGUAGCGGUGAAAUGCUUAGAUAUCACGAAGAACUCCGAUUGCGAAGGCAGCUCACUGGACUGCAACUGACACUGAUGCUCGAAAGUGUGGGUAUCAAACAGGAUUAGAUACCCUGGUAGUCCACACAGUAAACGAUGAAUACUCGCUGUUUGCGAUAUACAGUAAGCGGCCAAGCGAAAGCAUUAAGUAUUCCACCUGGGGAGUACGCCGGCAACGGUGAAACUCAAAGGAAUUGACGGGGGCCCGCACAAGCGGAGGAACAUGUGGUUUAAUUCGAUGAUACGCGAGGAACCUUACCCGGGCUUAAAUUGCAGUGGAAUGAUGUGGAAACAUGUCAGUGAGCAAUCACCGCUGUGAAGGUGCUGCAUGGUUGUCGUCAGCUCGUGCCGUGAGGUGUCGGCUUAAGUGCCAUAACGAGCGCAACCCUUAUCUUCAGUUACUAACAGGUCAUGCUGAGGACUCUGGAGAGACUGCCGUCGUAAGAUGUGAGGAAGGUGGGGAUGACGUCAAAUCAGCACGGCCCUUACGUCCGGGGCUACACACGUGUUACAAUGGGGGGUACAGAAGGCAGCUAGCGGGUGACCGUAUGCUAAUCCCAAAAGCCUCUCUCAGUUCGGAUCGAAGUCUGCAACCCGACUUCGUGAAGCUGGAUUCGCUAGUAAUCGCGCAUCAGCCACGGCGCGGUGAAUACGUUCCCGGGCCUUGUACACACCGCCCGUCAAGCCAUGGGAGCCGGGGGUACCUGAAGUACGUAACCGCAAGGAUCGUCCUAGGGUAAAACUGGUGACUGGGGCUAAGUCGUAACAAGGUAGCCGUACCGGAAGGUGCGGCUGGAACACCUCCUUUCU